GAAGUAUUGAGCGCCUGACCAGAGCUUCCUCCUGCGCAAAAGUGGGGGUUUCUCUAACUUCGAGCUUUAGCUUUAAAUGUAUGGCCUGAGCCUUGAAAUCUAAAUGAUAAAAAGCACCCAAAUCUCCCAGUUGGGUCCUCAGAGCAAGGAGAACAGAGCGCUUCAUGUAAACUCCAGUGCAAGAGAACAAAGCGGAUUGAUGUAAAAUAGAAAAUGAGAAAUGCAAACCUGUGGUGAUUGAAGAGGAGGAAGGAAAAUGAAAGAGAAAAAGCUGAAGAGUGGGAAAAAGAUAAAAUAAAAUGACUUUUGGGGAUUCCACUGGGUUGAAGAAAUUCUUUGUGACUGCCUAAAAAUGUAUCAUGAUCACCAGUCUAAAGAUUAUAGUACUUGGAAGAGUUCACCGCUUCCACCAGUUCAUGCAGUGGGAAUAUCCAUUAUCCAUAUCCAUAAAGAGGGAGAAACACACAAAGGAAAGAAUUUUGAAGUUUCGCUUCCUCUAUCCUCCAUGUCAGGCAGACGAGCUGAAAUUCGAGUGGUGUACGUUUUUAUCCUGCCUCACUGAAACCAAAGAAGUCGUCAGGAUGGCCCAGCCUGCUGCACACCCCGGAUCCGGUCUGCAUGGGGAUGCUGCCUUCGGUGUGCUGCAGUCCCGCAGGACGCAUCGCAGCGCAGAGACAGUAGCAUCACUCAGCGAAGCAUUUCUCAGUGUUUUGUCAGGCAUGCUGUGUUAUGGAUAUCAACUGAUAGAAGUCCUACUGUUUUCACCAGCUUUGGGCACAAACACUAGAAGCUAA
rnacentral:lncRNA from 1 species